rnacentral:lncRNA from 1 species
UCGGGGGUCUAUCAGAAACAGCCUCUCUAUCUCCCUAGAGGUAGUGGUAUGGACUGCGUAUAUUCUACCCUCCCCAGACCCCACUAUGUGGGAAUAUACUGCGUUUGUUGUUGUUGUUGUUAUUGUAAACCAAUGAAUUUAGAAAUCAAUUUCAUGCCAAUAACAAGGUACAAGUAUAGGGACAAAGACACAUGCAAGCUGCAUGUUCUAUUCCAUCCCAUGA